CGGAUGAACUGAGGGUAGCGGAGAAAUUCCAAUCGAACCUGGAGAUAGCUGGUUCUCUCCGAAAUAGCUUUAGGGCUAGCCUCAAGUGAUGAUUAUUGGAGGUAGAGCACUGUUUGGACGAGGGCCCUCUCGGGUUACCGAAUUCAGACAAACUCCGAAUGCCAAUUAAUUUAACUUGGGAGUCAGAACAUGGGUGAUAAGGUCCGUGUUCGAAAGGGAAACAGCCCAGACCACCAGCUAAGGUCCCA
rnacentral:rRNA from 1 species